ensembl:snRNA U6 U6 spliceosomal RNA
AUGAUCAUUUCAGCAGCACAUAUACUAAAAUUGGAAUGAUAAAGGGAGAUUAGCAUGGCUCCUACAAAGGAAUAACAGGCAAACUCAUCAAGCGUUCCAUAUUUUU